UACGUAGGUCCCGAGCGUUGUCCGGAUUUAUUGGGCGUAAAGGGAGCGCAGGCGGUGAUUUAAGUCUGAUGUGAAAGCCCACGGCUCAACCGUGGAAUGGCAUUGGAAACUGGGUCACUUGAGUGCAGAAGAGGAAAGCGGAAUUCCAUGUGUAGCGGUGAAAUGCGUAGAUAUAUGGAGGAACACCGGUGGCGAAAGCGGCUCUCUGGUCUGUAACUGACGCUGAGGCUCGAAAGCGUGGGGAGCGAACAGG
rnacentral:rRNA from 1 species